GGACUGGUCAAUUUAUUGGACAGUUAGUGGCGAAAGGGUUAGUAACGGAUGGGUAACGUACCCUGUGCUUUGGGAUAGCGUCAGUUGCCUUCGGGCAACUUUCCGAAAGGGGCGGUAAUACCAAAUAAUUUCAUUUGUCGAUAGGCAGAUGAUCAAAGAUUUAUCGGCGCAGGAGCGGCCUGUCUCCUAUCAGCUUGUUGGUGAGGUAAUGGCUCACCAAGGCAGCGACGGGUAGCGGGACUGAGAGGUUGACCCGCAACAUCGGGACUGAGACACUGCCCGGACCUCCACGGAGGGCUGCAGUAACGGAUAUUGUGCAAUGGGCGAAAGCCUGACACAGCGACGCCGCGUGUAGGAGGAAGUCUUUCGGGAUGUAAACUACUGUCAGGGGGAAGAAAGUGCGCUUCGGCGUAUUGAUCUAACCCAGAGGAAGUCACGGCUAACUUCGUGCCAGCAGCCGCGGUAAGACGAAGGUGGCAAGCGUUGUUCGGUAUUACUGGGCUUAAAGCGUGUGUAGGCGGAAAAGUAAGCGUCUUGUGAAAUCCCCCGGCUUAACCGGGGAAUUGCGUGACGUACUGCUUUUCUUGAGGCAAGUAGGGGUGCAUGGAACUCUUGGUGGAGCGGUGGAAUGCGUAGAUAUCAAGAGGAACGCCAGUGGAGAAAUCGGUGCACUGGGCUUGUCCUGACGCUGAGACACGAAAGCGUGGGGAGCGAACGGGAUUAGAUACCCCGGUAGUCCACGCCGUAAACGAUGCCUACUAGGUUGUGGUGGUUCUGACACCAGCACAGCCGAAGCAAAAGUGCUAAGUAGGCCGCCUGGGGAGUACGGUCGCAAGGCUAAAACUCAAAGGAAUUGACGGGGGCUCACACAAGCGGUGGA
rnacentral:rRNA from 1 species